ACAGAGGUUCUCUGGAAACUCUGAAAUUAGUCAAAACCUCUGAAUAAAAAGUGUUGUCACAGGAGUCUAAUGAUGAUGGAUGAUCUUUGGCAACGGAUGAUCCUUCUAAAACAUUUAUUGAUAUCAAAUCAACUCUGGAGUUUUACCUUACUAGAUCAAUGGAUGAAUUUUUUUCAGCUGCAAAGAGAAUGAAAAUAGUUGGAAGGUAUCGGCAUUUGUAUAAAUCUGCGAAAAGACUGAUAAUUUGAAAACAUUCCAGUCCUAUAACUUAAUGGUCCAAUCUUAAAAUUCUUCGACACGUGGUACAGGACUAGCAAAGUGUGAGAGUGAAAGAAAUCUUUUUGCAUCGUACUGAUGGUCGAAUGGAGGGUAAUAUCUAAUUUUCAGCUAGAAACUCAAGCCUUCAGAAAGAAAAGAAACAUCUUGAGACAGUUAUCCAUACUUUACUACCAAAUCAUUCUAAUCCAGCAUCCUGGAGAGGGGGUCUGUGGUGGUUGUCAUCUGACGAUUCUCUGGAAACACCAAAUGGCAGAGGUUUUGCUUUUAGCAGAAAUAUAUUAAUCUGUCAUUCGUAAAAAAAAUUUAGGCAAACUAUACCCUUAUUAAAUUUUUGCUGCAGCUUCAAAGAGUGGUGGACCGAUACCGUGGAUAUAAUAUGUAAUCAGAAGAAGAAGAAGAAAACAAAAAAUCUUAAUCUGAAAGAAAUAUAUUAUUACUUCACCAGAGGAAUUUUGUUAUGGUAACCAUUCUGGUUGUUUGUUUUUUCAAAACAUACAAAUAUAUUCUCUAACAUCAAUUCAA